rnacentral:rRNA from 1 species
AUUGAACGCUGGCGGCAGGCCUAACACAUGCAAGUCGAACGAGUGGCGGACGGGUGAGUAAUGUCUGGGAAACUGCCCGAUGGAGGGGGAUAACUACUGGAAACGGUAGCUAAUACCGCAUACCAUCGGAUGUGCCCAGAUGGGAUUAGCUAGUAGGUGGGGUAACGGCUCACCUAGGCGACGAUCCCUAGCUGGCCUGAGAGGAUGACCGGCCACACGGGAACUGAGACAGGGUCCAAAUUCCUCCGGGAGGCAGCAGUGGGAAAUAUGGCAAAAUGGGCGAAAGCCGGAUGCAGCCAUGCCGCGUGUAUGAAGAGGGUCUUCGGGUGGUAAAGUACUUUCAGCGAGGAGGCGUUACUCGCAGAAGAAGCAACGGCUAACUACGUGCCAGCAGCCGCGGUAAUAC